rnacentral:rRNA from 1 species
UACGUAGGCAGCGAGCGUUGUUCGGAAUUACUGGGCGUAAAGAGUGUGUAGGCGGUUAGUUAAGUCUGGCGUGAAAGCUCUCGGCUAAACCGGGAGAGGUCGUUGGAUACUGGCUGACUAGAGGACGGUAGAGGCGUGUGGAAUUCCGGGUGUAGUGGUGAAAUGCGUAGAGAUCCGGAGGAACACCAGUGGCGAAGGCGACACGCUGGGCCGUACCUGACGCUAAAGCGCGACAGCAUGGGGAGCAAACGGG